rnacentral:rRNA from 1 species
AACGAACGCUGGCGGCAUGCCUAACACAUGCAAGUCGAACGAUACCUUCGGUUCUUGUGGCGCACGUGUGCGUAACUCGUGGGCACCUGCCCUUCGGUUCGGAAUCACUCCCCGAAAUGGUUGCUAAUACCGUAUAAUUUCUUCUGACCAAAGAUUUAUCGCCUUUGGCUGGUCCCGCGUUUGAUUAGCUAGUUGUUAGGGUAAAAGCCUACCACGGCGCCGAUCCAUAGCUGGUCUGAGAGGAUGAUCAGCCACACUGGGACUGAGACACGGCCCAGACUACUACGGGAGGAAGCAGUGGGGAAUAAUGGACAAUGGGCGAAAGCCUGAGCCAGCAAUGCGGGGUGAGUGAUGAAGGCGUUAGGGUUGUAAAGCUCUUUUACCCGGGAGGAGAAUGACAGUACCGGGAGAAUAAGCGCCGGCUAACUACGUG